rnacentral:rRNA from 1 species
AGAGUUUGAUCCUGGCUCAGAGUGAACGCUGGCGGCGUGCCUAACACAUGCAAGUCGAACGAUGAUAGGAAGCUUGCUUCCUUGAUUAGUGGCGCACGGGUGAGUAUACCAUAGAUAAUGUACCUCUUAGUUCGGGAUAGCCACUGGAAACGGUGAUUAAUACCGGAUACUCCUUCUCGUUAUAAGGCGAGUCGGGAAAGUUUUUUCGCUAAGAGAUCAGUCUAUGUCCUAUCAGCUAGUUGGUGAGGUAAUGGCUCACCAAGGCUAUGACGGGUAUCUGGUUUGAGAGGAUGAUCAGACACACUGGAACUGAGACACGGUCCAGACUCCUACGGGAGGCAGCAGUGAGGAAUAUUGCACAAUGGAGGAAACUCUGAUGCAGCAACGCCGCGUGGAGGAUGACGCAUUUCGGUGUGUAAACUCCUUUUGAGAGGGAAGAUAAUGACGGUACCUCUUGAAUAAGCACCGGCUAACUCCGUGCCAGCCGCCGCGGU